GGAUGGUCCAUUGAUCCACACCCACAAUUAUCUCCACUAGCUCGAUUAAACCUGUUGGAUUUUUGAAGUUCUCUCCACUCGCUUCUACACAUGUUGUUGGGUGGGUUUGUGGUGUCGCCGAGGUGUUUCGUCAAUGAGGGGUGCACAACGUCUGAGUCAUAGCAAUGGUUGUCGGUGGGGUCCAGACGAGGAGCAAGCGGCGGGGACCACCGACCCGAUGUGGCGUUUAGGGUAAGAAGUCGGUAAUAUGUGCUGGUUUGGAUGCUAAGCGAAUGCAAAUGUCUUGGCAGGAUUCAAAGAAUAAGAUUGAUUGUGGUUGUUUCUUAUGCAUCACAUGGAGAUCUAUGUUAGCAAAUGCGUUUCAAAGUGGAACUGCGGCCUUGUCAAAGGAGACACUAGUAAGCCAAACAAACUUAGGCUGCAGUACAUGAAGAACAUAACAAUAUCUGAAUUCAAUGUGUAUAUAUCGAGGAAUCUAUUUCGGCCGUACCUGUCUAUUUGUACACCGCUCACUUCUCUGUAAUGAUGCAAUUUUCACUAUGUACUUUUUUAGGUUCUCCUAUGAGGUUGUCUAAACUUUUGAUGCUAAGUUGACUUUUGAUGUUAAGUUGUUAAAAAUGUUUGUCCACCUACAAUUUGUUUGUGGGUUUUGGGAACCAUAUUUAAUUGGUAAUGCUCUUUUUUUUUGUCA